GUGAGGAAUAUUGGUCAAUGGGCGGGAGCCUGAACCAGCCAAGUCGCGUGAAGGAAGAAGGAUCUAUGGUUCGUAAACUUCUUUUGCAGGGGAAUAAAGUGCAGGACGUGUCCUGUUUUGUCUGUACCCUGAGAAUAAGGAUCGGCUAACUCCGUGCCAGCAGCCGCGGUAAUACGGAGGAUCCGAGCGUUAUCCGGAUUUAUUGGGUUUAAAGGGUGCGUAGGUGGUUUGAUAAGUCAGCGGUGAAAAUUUGCAGCUUAACUGUAAAAAUGCCGUUGAAACUGUCGGACUUGAGUGUAAGUGAGGUAGGCGGAAUGCGUGGUGUAGCGGUGAAAUGCAUAGAUAUCACGCAGAACUCAGAUUGCGAAGGCAGCUUACUAAGCGACAACUGACACUGAAGCACGAAAGCGUGAGGAUCAAACAGGAUUAGAAACCCCGGUAGUCC
rnacentral:rRNA from 1 species